ACGGGAGGCAGCAGUGGGGAAUAUUGCACAAUGGGGGAAACCCUGAUGCAGCGAUGCCGCGUGGAGGAAGAAGGUUUUCGGAUUGUAAACUCCUGUCGUUAGGGAAGAAAAAGGACGGUACCUAACAAGAAAGCUCCGGCUAACUACGUGCCAGCAGCCGCGGUAAUACGUAGGGAGCGAGCGUUGUCCGGAAUUACUGGGUGUAAAGGGAGCGUAGGCGGGAUUGCAAGUCAGAUGUGAAAUAUACGGGCUCAACCUGUAGACUGCAUUUGAAACUGUAGUUCUUGAGUGAAGUAGAGGUAAGCGGAAUUCCUAGUGUAGCGGUGAAAUGCGUAGAUAUUAGGAGGAACAUCGGUGGCGAAGGCGGCUUACUGGGCUUUUACUGACGCUGAGGCUCGAAAGCGUGGGGAGCAAACAGGAUUAGAUACCCUGGUA
rnacentral:rRNA from 1 species